rnacentral:rRNA from 1 species
UACGAAGGGUGCAAGCGUUACUCGGAAUUACUGGGCGUAAAGCGUGCGUAGGUGGUUUGUUAAGUCUGUUGUGAAAGCCCCGGGCUCAACCUGGGAAUGGCAAUGGAUACUGGCAAGCUAGAGUGCGGUAGAGGGUAGUGGAAUUCCCGGUGUAGCGGUGAAAUGCGUAGAUAUCAAGAGGAACACCUGAGGGGAAGACGGGUUGCUGGGCCGACACUGACGCUGAGUGCGCGAAAGCCAGGGGAGCAAACGGG